rnacentral:lncRNA from 1 species
CUGGUCAUAUGUAAUCGUUACAUAUUUGUUUCCCUUCAUCAAGUGACAUGAAUUUCUCUAUAAAUAGAGAUAACUUGUACACCUAAACACACACAAAAAUUACUUGUUUCAAGUGUCAAAAAUUAUAUCUAAGUCAUUCUUUUAUUUUUCUAAUAUAUGAAAAUAAAUUAGAGAACUUUAUUAUGUAAAAUAUUCGUUGCUUGAUAUGCUUAAUGUGAAUGUGUGAUUCAUGUUAAGGUUUCCAAAGUAUCCUGAAGGGGAUUCGCUGGAUUAUCCAUUUCAAUCCAAUUUGCCUAAAUUGGUGGAGGUAAAUCGAACCUAAAGCUUAAUGUAAACACGCGCUUUGGAAUUUAUUUUGUGCAACUUUGAUCAUAACAUAUUCAUCUUCUUAUUAUUCAAGUUUUACAGCAGACCCCUAACACAAGUUCUAACAAUCUUUAGGUUCGAUUUUGAUUCUGAUUCUGAUUCAUACUUUAUUUAUAAUUAAAAUUAAAGUAUGCAACUUUAAAGAAGAUGAUAACAACUUUCAAUGAUGGUGAAAGGUACACAACUAAUUCAUAUCAUUUUAAAAUUGUGAAAUUUUACUUUUUGAUUUUUUGUGAUUAAUUUGUGAUUGGAACUUUGAUAGAGAGAUAAACAUACAUCUUUGUUUAUUCAUAUCCAGGGUGAAACGUACUUAAAUAUUUUAAAUAAAUAUAUGUUAUACGAUGUUAUAAAUCUUUGUAAAAUAUGUUGAAAAUAAUUUAUAUUUAUGUCAAGUUUAACAUGCGCAAUAAAAUCAUGUAUGCAUGAUUUAUAAAUUAUUCAAGUAUGUGACUUUGAAUAUAUAAGAAUAUAUUUGAUUUAUGGUGUAUACUUGGUGUAUACUUGAAUGUAAAAUACAUGCUAAAUAUUAUUAUUUGGUGUAAGUAUUUUAUUUUAAUUAAUAAUACAUUAUUUCUGUAUGAAAUGAUUUGGUAUAAAAUUAAAUUAAAAAAAAUCAUGAAUUUGAAUUAAUGGUGUAUAUAUUGGUAACAUAAAAUGAUGUAAGUAAAAUGUUAAAAAUAUCAAGGACAUGUGUAAAUUGUAUUUUAAUUUAUGUAAGAAUUUAUUAGAUUUAAAAUGAUUUGUCACAUAUUAUAUGUGUAUCAUAAUAUGGAAAUAGUAUUUCUAGUUCGCCUUGAUAUCAAAAGUAAUUUUGGUAUAUUUUAGAUUAUUGUAAUUUGAUAGAUAUUUAUGGGGAAAAGUUAUAGAAAAUAUUAAUGAUGUGAAUUCAUUGUUUACUUUAUAUUGUGAUUAUCAUUUAAAUAUACCAUAGAACAUUGUUAAAUAUGAAACAUUAAUUUAUCACAUACAAUUUAUGCAAGAAAAUUAUUUAUUUUAAAAGAAUAGAAAUAAUUUAUAUGGUGUUGUAUUUGGUGUUGUAUUUAUAUUGAGUUUAUGAAUUAUAUGUUUGAACUCACUUCAUGAAAUAAAAGUUAGUCAUGACAAAUUUGUUUGAUCGUGGUUGUCGAUUACUAUAAAUGUUUAACGCAUUAAAUAUAUUUCAGAUGCAUUUAAGUGGAAGUAAAACUUCAAAUAAAAAGUUAGCAGAUGAAGAAUGAUAUAAAAUUUGUGUAUAUGACAAAAUGAAUGACAAAUGUGUUAUGAUGAUAGUUUACUGGAACUAUCAAGAAUAUAUAAUAUAUGUUGUAUAUGAUAAUUGUGCUAAUAUGACAAAAGUGUCAUGAUUUGAUGAUAGAUGGUAAAUGUAACACCCAUAUAUAAUAUAUGUCUAGAAUACAUAUUAUACAUAGUGUAAAACUAGUACUGAAAUACAUAAGCGCCUAGCAGCACAGUGUACAUAUACAAAUACAUGUCCAAAAUAAGUACAACAUGGCACAAAA